UACGUAGGGGGCAAGCGUUAUCCGGAAUUACUGGGUGUAAAGGGAGAGUAGGCGGCAAGGUAAGCGAUAUGUGAAAGCCUUAAGCUUAACUUAAGGAUGGCAUAACGAACUAUCUAGCUAGAGUACAGGAGAGGAAAGCGGAAUUCCUAGUGUAGCGGUGAAAUGCGUAGACAUUAGGAAGAACACCAGUGGCGAAGGCGGCUUUCUGGACUGAAACUGACGCUGAGGCUCGAAAGCGUGGGGAGCGAACAGG
rnacentral:rRNA from 1 species